rnacentral:rRNA from 1 species
UACGGAGGGUGCAAGCGUUAUCCGGAUUUACUGGGUUUAAAGGGUGUGUAGGCGGGCUAUUAAGUCAGUGGUGAAAUCUCCGGGCUCAACCCGGAAACUGCCAUUGAUACUAUUAGUCUUGAAUUUUGUUGAAGUAGGCGGAAUAAGUCAUGUAGCGGUGAAAUGCAUAGAUAUGACUUAGAAACACCAAUUGCGAAGGCAGCUUACUAAAGCAAAUAUUGACGCUGAGGCACGAAAAGCGUGGGGGAUCAAAACAGGG